ACGUUAUCAAGAAAGGUGUAGGGAUUAGACCCGCAGAAGCCUUAGCAACCCUUUAUGUACUUCAAUUAACAAGGAAGUUUUCUUAGAGAAGGUGCUACGUUCUACCGUAGAUAAUACGGACAGAUAACAA
rnacentral:ncRNA from 2 species